AUUGGGACUGAGAUACGGCCCAGACUCCUACGGGAGGCAGCAGUGGGGAAUAUUGCACAAUGGGCGGAAGCCUGAUGCAGCAACGCCGCGUGCGGGAUGACGGCCUUCGGGUUGUAAACCGCUUUCGCCUGUGACGAAGCGUGAGUGACGGUAAUGGGUAAAGAAGCACCGGCUAACUACGUGCCAGCAGCCGCGGUGAUACGUAGGGUGCGAGCGUUGUCCGGAUUUAUUGGGCGUAAAGGGCUCGUAGGUGGUUGAUCGCGUCGGAAGUGUAAUCUUGGGGCUUAACCCUGAGCGUGCUUUCGAUACGGGUUGACUUGAGGAAGGUAGGGGAGAAUGGAAUUCCUGGUGGAGCGGUGGAAUGCGCAGAUAUCAGGAGGAACACCAGUGGCGAAGGCGGUUCUCUGGGCCUUUCCUGACGCUGAGGAGCGAAAGCGUGGGGAGCGAACAGGCUUAGAUACCCUGGUAGUCCACGCUGUAAACGGUGGGUACUAGGUGUGGGGUCCAUUCCACGGGUUCCGUGCCGUAGCUAACGCUUUAAGUACCCCGCCUGGGGAGUACGGCCGCAAGGCUAAAACUCAAAGGAAUUGACGGGGCCCCGCACAAGCGGCGGAGCAUGCGGAUUAAUUCGAUGCAACGCGUAGAACCUUACCUGGGUUUGACAUGGAUCGGGAGUGCUCAGAGAUGGGUGUGCCUCUUUUGGGGUCGGUUCACAGGUGGUGCAUGGCUGUCGUCAGCUCGUGUCGUGAGAUGUUGGGUUAAGUCCCGCAACGAGCGCAACCCUUGUUCACUGUUGCCAGCACGUUAUGGUGGGGACUCAGUGGAGACCGCCGGGGUCAACUCGGAGGAAGGUGGGGAUGACGUCAAGUCAUCAUGCCCCUUAUGUCCAGGGCUUCACGCAUGCUACAAUGGCUGGUACAGAGAGUGGCGAGCCUGUGAGGGUGAGCGAAUCUCGGAAAGCCGGUCUCAGUUCGGAUUGGGGUCUGCAACUCGACCUCAUGAAGUCGGAGUCGCUAGUAAUCGCAGAUCAGCAACGCUGCGGUGAAUACGUUCCCGGGCCUUGUACACACCGCCCGUCAAGUCACGAAAGUUGGUAACACCCGAAGCCGGUGGCCUAACCCUUGUGGGGGGAGCCGUCGAAGGUGGGACCAGCGAUUGGGACUAAGUCGUAACAAGGU
rnacentral:rRNA from 1 species